AAGGGUGAGGUGACGCAAGCAAGACCUCAAGAGAAGGUUCUAGAAGAUGUUGCGUGGCUGGAGACGAGAGAUUCUCUGUAACGGCAUGGGAGGAGCACGUCACGUCACUGAGAGAUUAACAGAUUUCGGUUCGAGGAGAUAAAGAGCAUCGGCUGAUGGGGCUGAAGCUGAUCAAGCUACUGUUCCGUCGCCGCCGUCCGCCGCCGUUCGCCGCCGUUCCUGAUCUCAGCUGCGUUGGCUAAUGAGCCGGACUCGCGUUGGUACCGAUUUGGCUCUGUUCUUGGCCGAGCUGAUUCGAAGGUUGGAAUCCUCUGCGAUGCCAGGAUUUCGUUCGUCGGUUGAAUCGCGAAAGGUCCUGUUGCCGAUUCGAGCGUUCGUCGCAAUGCAAACGUCACGGGCCAGGUAAUAUCUAUUAUUAUCCUUGCUAUCGAGAUCGACGUUCUUUCUUUUAGGAUUAAAGCACGCGUUGGGCGCGAUUGGGUUGUUGCCUGGUUCGGAGUGCUGCUGGUUGAUCUUGCUUGGAAUCAGGCCGUGAAUUCGAGCCUGAGACAGCGUAAUUUUACUUCCCGAUUUGUUGAACACCGAGUGUUUGGUAAUAUGCCUCUUAGUCACUGACAUUGAAUAGAUUGCGGUUUUGUUCGAACUGAAGAUGCGCAGAUCCACUGACGAGAGGAAUCGGCAUUCAAAAUGAUGGUCCAAGUAUGUCCCUGUUCCUAUGCUCUGCGUUUGAGUGAUUAUGGCCUGCGUGUGAGUAACGGUGAUCUGGUAGGGAAUGGAGAGGCCGAUAAUGAAAUUGAAUUGGUUCCGUGGUGAACCGAGACUGUGAUGGAGAUCCGGGGAUGGUUGCCGGCGUCGACGGCAGACAUUGAGGGGAAGGAGAUGUCCGGGAAGGAAGUUGGCGUCUCUGGAUCUCAAGGUUUCACUGGCAAUAUAGUUUUGUUGUAUUCAUUGAUGACGCUUCAUUCAGCUUUCUGAAUUAGGGGAAGAAAUCAUCGACUCUGUAAAAUCUGACAGCAUAUGAGCGGUUUCAAAUAUUGGAAGAGUUCGAUUUGAUGCUCCCUUCCUCCAAGUUCUUUACAACUUGUCAAGUACCAA